rnacentral:tRNA from 1 species
CUCUCGGUAGCCAAGUUGGUUUAAGGCGCCAGACUGUUAAUCUGGAGAUCGGGCGUUCGACUCGCCCCCGGGAGAC